UUCCGGCAGGCGGUGGCGAAGGCGGGGAGCGCUGGCUCGGGUAACGCCAAGCCCGGCCUGGCCACGUGGGGGCGCUCACCACCCAGCGAGGGCAGCAGGCAGUGCCGCCUGGCGGCCGACCCGUGCAAGCACCUGCUUCCAGCGGUUGAAAUCGUUGCUGCUCCUUGGCUCUCCAGACCGCUCAAUUACACCAUCAUCUGGGGGCUGUGAGGAACGCAGAUUCUCAGGCCCAACCUAGGCCACUGCAUCAAAUGCCCGCUGACUGUUGUUACACAGGCGGUUUGCUUCCAUUCAGCAUAGAGAAGGGGAGCAAGAAUACGUGCACACAUAUACACGCACGCGCGCACGCACACACGUAUAAUACGGAGAUCCUGCAAACAGCGGCCAUUCUAGAAACUGCUCAAGCAUAAGCUUGGGAUGUGACCAACAGAGCCCUGUGAAUGCUGAAAUCCCCCUGGGCUUCUCUGGGAAAGGGCUUCAUCUUUGACGUUUACUUUAAGAGUGGUGAUCAUUGUGGACAUGGCAUUUUACACAGACAUACACAAGGUGGUUUGUUGUACAACACCCUCCACCCUGUAACCUCCCGGAGUCUACUAUGUUGUCCUAGAUGGCCUGGAACUCACUAUGUCGACCAAGGUGGCCUCGAACUCACAGAGAUCUGCCUGCUUCUACUGGGAUUAGCCACCAUACCUGACAGGCAAGUUGUUGGCAUACAAGUAGUUUUGUGGGAAUGUUUUCUAGACAUUUUCAAAAGUACUGAAAACAGAAAACAUGACACAUAUUACAGAGGGGCAAGGAUGUAGCUCAGUAGCACAGAGCUUGUCUGACAAGGUGAGGCUUAUGGGAUCCCUCCCACCAGUGCUGCUUUUCAAAUACAAUUCUUCAACCACCCAUGAAAGUAGGAACGGGAUUACAUAAAAGCACACGGCAUGGAUGAGUCGCACAUGCCAAUCCCGCACUGGGAAAGGGUUGUAUCUGUUUGCAAGUUCUUGCACACCAGAGAAUGAGUUCUCCUUUAGCUAAGUUCCUUGACAUUUGGUGGAUGCCGAUUAG